UGGGCUUUUCUGUUAUUAAUGGGUUUGAAU
rnacentral:piRNA from 1 species